UUUGAUGUUCCCAUUGGGAUUUUGGGAUUUUUGAUGUUCCCAUUGGGAUUUUUGAGGGUCCCAUUGGGAAUUGGGGUUUCCCAUUGGGAUUUUUGAUGCUCCCAUUGGGAUUUUUGAUGUUCCCAUUGGGAUUUUUUGAGGUUCCCAUUGGGAUUUUUGAGGGUCCCAUUGGGAAUUGGGGUUUCCCAUUGGGAUGUUUGAUGUUCCCACUGGGAUUUUUGAGGGUCCCAUUGGGAUUUUUGAUGUUCCCAUUGGGAUUUUUGAGGUUCCAACUGGGAUUUUUGAGGUUCCCACUGGGAUUUUUGAGGUUCCCACUGGGAAUUGGGGUUUCCCAUUGGGAUUUUUGAUGUUCCCACCAGGAUUUUUGCGGUUCCAACUGGGAUUUUUUGAUGUUCCCAUUGGGAUUUUUGAGGGUCCCAUUGGGAUUUUUGAUGUUCCCAUUGGGAUUUUGGGAUUUUUGAUGUUCCCACUGGGAUUUUUGAGGUUCCCACUGGGAAUUGGGGUUUCCCAUUGGGAUUUUUGAUGUUCCCAUUGGGAUUUUUGAGAUUCCUACUGGGAUUUUUUGAUGUUCCCAUUGGGAUUUUGGGAUUUUUGAUGUUCCCACUGGGAUUUUUGAGGUUCCCACUGGGAAUUGGGGUUUCCCAUUGGGAUUUUUGAUGUUCCCACCAGGAUUUUUGCGGUUCCAACUGGGAUUUUUUGAUGUUCCCAUUGGGAUUUUUGAGGGUCCCAUUGGGAUUUUUGAUGUUCCCAUUGGGA